rnacentral:lncRNA from 1 species
UUAUUUUAAAAUAGUUUUUAGUGUGAUUAAGAACUCUUAACCUGAGAUCUACUCUCUAUAUCACAUUUGGGUAAACUUCAGGCACAGAGUUCCAUCAGGGCUUAAUGUUACUAAUAUAUGACUGUAAACACAAAGGAGCCCUAAAGUAUCUGUUUUCAAUUUAUUCUACAUAGAAGUACUGAAUGGAUCUCGAUAAUGGACAAGGAAUUGUAAUAUAUAAGACCACAUGCAAUAUAGCACCUAAAAGUGUGAAAAAUGGAAUAGACCCACAUAUAUGAAUUUGGUUCCUUUCUACUUGGAAUAAUUAUUGAUUUCAAACUGAAAUGUUCUUGAUUUCAACAUAAUUUCAGGUCAUCUCACUGUUUUUAAAAACAAAACUAAUUUUCUUUGCACAUUAUAAUUAGUUUAUUCCUUUCAAAAAUUGCAAUAGUUUCAUCAUAUCUCAUUCCUUUCAAACCUCUGAAGUAAAUCUAUUUGUCAUUCUUCUUCCUCAGACAUCAAGUCAUCAUAGAAACUUCUCGAAAGCAUCUGCUGAUGCUUUAUGUCUUUGGUACAAAAGCAGAAGAGUAGGUGAUAAGCCUCCCCUGUACUCUGUGGCAAUUCCUUCCAGUCACUAGUGAGCUAGAUCCACCCAUCCUGCCUCUUUCCUCUCUUCCUGUUACAUUUAUUUUUGGACUAUUGCUAAUAGUGUGAUUUCACCUGGUAUUAACUACCAACAUUUUCUGGAAUUUAUUUCCUCUGAAAAAAAUUUUUCAAUCAAACCAGACAUUAAAAUCUUUUUUUUUUGGGGGGGGGUCUUUUUAGGGCCAUACCUGCAGCAUAUGGAGGUUCCAGGCUAGCCAGGGAAUUGGAACUGUAGCUGCCAGCCUACACCACAGCCACAGCAGUGCAGGAUCCAAGAGCAUCUGUAACCUACCACGUCUCACAGCAAUGCCAGAUCCUUAACCCACCGAGCAAGGCCAGGGAUCAAAUCCAGGUCCUCAGGGAUACUAGUCGGGUUCGUUAACCACUGAAUCAUGAUAAGAACUCCUAAAAUCUAUUUUUAAAACCAUAUACUCAAUUUAACCUUCCUCAACCUGUGGCUUGAGAUGGUAUUGAGAUGGCUUCCAUGCUGCUGGGUCUGUUUACAAUUUAUAGAAUAGUUUCUUUUAUUGAAUGUGGUUUUAAAACUUGAUCUCCUCUGGGCAAGCCCUCUCCAGCAGGGUCUCCCUAUCUUGAAACUAACCAAGAGAAAAUUUCAUCAUUUGGCUUCUGGUCUUUUCUACACAUGUUUUCAGACAAAGCUUUAAAGAAGUUUUUGAAGGUAUAGAACUGCAUUUUAGUGGGUUUUUUUUCCCCCUUGCAUAUGUCAUUGUAGGCAGUUUGCAAUUACCACAACACAUACAUAAUAGAGUUCUGUGCAUUUCUGCCAGGCACUCUUAGUACAUGAUCAGUACAAGGGUCUCAACUCAGCCAAAAAUGGAGUCUUCUAGAGAGCUUUAAAAAAUUGGUGGUCAGAAGUUCCCAUCAUGGCGCAGUGGUUACCGAAUCCGACUAGGAACCAUGAGGUUGUAGGUUCGAUCCCUGGCCUUGCUCAGUGGGUUAAGGAUCCAGUGUAGGUUGCAGACGUGGCUCGGAUCCUGCGUUGCUGUGUCUCUGGCAUAGGCCGGUGGCUACAUCUCUGAUUGGAUUCCUAGCCUGGGAAUCUCCAUAUGCCGCGGGAGCAGCCCUAGAAAAGGCAAAAAGACCAAAAAAAAAAAAAAAAUUGGUGGUUAAAACACACAGAUACAGAGAACAAACCAGUGGUUACCAGUGGGGAGGGCAGGUACAAACUAUUAGGUGUAAGAUAGGCUCAAGGAUGUUAUUGUACAGCAUGGAGAAUAUAGUCAAUAUUUUUAACAACUGUAAAUGAAAAGUAAUCUUUAAAAAUUAUGUAAAUUUUUUUUUAACAUCAGGGCUUUGAUCUCCUUCCAGAGAUUCUGAUUUAAUUGGUCUUCAGUGAAGCUUAGGCAUUCGUAUUGCCUUUAAAAAGCCUCCCCAGAUGAUUCUAAGGAUUAAAAAAUAGGUUUUUUUUUACAUUUUGUGGUAUGCCUAUGAAUUUGCAUUUGAUCAUACUUAUAUUUAUUCCAGAAAUUUAUAAUUCUUGAUAUUUUAUAAUUCUAUCAAACAACCCAAAACACAACUGUUACCUUAAAGGCUGUAUUUUUAUUAUGUACAUAGCAUUAAACAUUACAUCAUUGGUUUUACUCCCAUCUUACUUUGCAAAAUUCCCAAAUCACUUGUGAAAAGAUGAGCAAAACAGAGAAUAUAUGCAUUUGUUUUUUGUUCACAUGUUGGGACGUCACAGUAUUUUUUACUUUAAAAUCAUUCUCCUCUCUGCUCUUCUACUGGUAGGUAGUUCAUCCUCUUCUGAUCACUACCUGAAUAGAAACAGGAAAAGUAUUGGGGAAAGAGGAGAAUUUGGGGAGUUCCUAGCUAGGGCCAAGGGCAAGGAGACCUGCUAUUUGGGAAGUGACCCUUCUCCACAUGGUGAAAUGCUUUCGUCUCCUCCAACGCACAAAGAAUUGUUGGCUGAAGUCCAAUACACAGCUCCAGCAGUGAAGCAGACGCUGAAAUGUUUAUAAAUGUAAGCCUCGUGGGAUGCCCCCAGACUGGGACAUGAUGAAAGGGAAUGAAAAAUUGGGUUUCACAACUGAAAUAAAUUUCACACUUACACAUGCUUGCAUGUGCACACACAGACAUACAGACACACACACACACACACACACACACACACACACACACUGUUUUAAAAACAAGGCAGCUACAAAGAAGCCCACAGAUGUCAUUUAUCAGACUGUGACACAGUAACUGGGGUCACUCUUUUGUACCCACUCUCCCUGUCUUCCUUCCAAUCUUGCUGGAUAUAGGGCUCUAGCCUUUUCCACGGUUUAUCCCUUUCCCUCAUAGGCUACCAAUCCCAUCUUCUCUCAGAGACUAUUCUCUCACAGUUAUUUUCCAUCUCUCUCAUAGCAUCAAUUUCUCCUAUUUUAGAAUAAUAACAUCAGAGAAAAAACCUGCUCUAAAACAAAACAACACAAAAAACAAAUACAAGCAGCCAAAAAAAAAAAAAAAAAAAAUCGCCCUACCUUAACCCUGCUCCUGUCGUAUCUCUCUAUCCACCUCCUAAGCAGUUUCUUAAAGAAGCUCUAAGUACUUAUCUUCUCCUCACAUCCUUUUCUCUUCUCCACCCAUUCCAGCUGGCCAUCCUCCCUCAACCUCACCAAAAAGGCUCUUCACCAACUGCUUCCAUGUUGCCAAACUCAAUAGACCAUUCUCUGGCCUCUUUGUAUCCAACCUCUUUGCAGCACCCAACCCAGUUAACCCAUCUCCUUUCUAGAAAACCACUCUUUUCGGCUCUCGUGACAAUAUAUCUCACUAGUGCUCCUUCUAGGACACUGCUUGCUGCUUUGCUGCUCUGCUUUUUCUCCUUUAAUUAAUUGAUAUUUUUGGCAAGUUUUACUGGGAUAUAAUUCACAUACCAUGUAAUCACUCAUUUCAAGCAUGUAAUUCAAUGGUUUUUGUAUAUUCAGAGUUGUGCAAGCAUCACUACAAUCAAUUUUAGAACAUUUCAUCACCUUAAAAAGAAAGCUUACAUCUUUUUGCUUUCCUUUUAACCAUGUCCUUCCCACCAGCACUAGGCAAUCACUAAUCUAUUUGCAGGAAUGGGUAUUGGAUUUGGUCAAAUUCUUUUUCUGCUUCUGAUAUAACCAUGUGAUUUUUCUUCUUUAGCCUGCUGAUGUGGUGAAUUACAUUACUUGAUUUUCAAAUAUUGAAGCAGCCUUACAUACCUGGGAUAUCCGGUUGUGGUGUAUAAUUCUUUAUUUUCAUGUUUAAAGUUUUAUUUAAGUGUAGUUGAUUUAUAAGGUUGUGAUAAUUUCUGCUGUACAACAAAGUGAAUCAGUUAUAUAAAUAUACACAUCCAUCCUCUUUCAGAUUCUUUUUCCACAGAUUAUCACAGACUGUUGGGUAGAGUUCUCUGUGCUAUAUAGCAGGUCUUGGUUGGCUAAUCAUUCCAUAUACAUCAGUGUGCAUAGGCUAAUGCCAAACCUAUAGACCAUCUGUUCCCCCACCGAUCUGUCCCUUUGGUAACCAUAAGGUUUUUUUUUUUAAUUUGUUUGUUUGUUUUGACAUAUGUAGGACUGGGCUUGCUAAUAUUUUAUUGAAGAAUUUUGAAUCUAUGUUCAUGAGAGAUAUUGGUCUGUUUUCUUUUCUUGCAAUAUCUUCAUAUGGUUUUGGUAUUAAGGUAAUGCUGGCUUCAUAAGGUGAGUUAGGAAGUAUACCCUCUGCUUCUACUCUUUGAAGGAGAUUGUAGAUAAUUGCUACAAUUUCUUUAUAAAGUAUUUGGAAUUUGACAGUGAACGCAUCUGUGCAUGGUGGUUUCUGCUUUAAGGUUAUUAAUUUUUUAUACCACACCCAUAAAAAAGUAUAUGGAAGUUCCUGGGCCAGGGGUUGACUCUGAGCUUCAGCUGCAGCAACAUCAGAUCCUUUAACCCACUGCACCAGGCUGGAGAUUGAACCCACACUUCCGCAGUGACCUGAGCCACUGCAGUUGGAUUCCUACUCCACAUCAUCACAGCAGGAAGUCCAAGGUUAUUAAUUAUUAAUUCACUUUCUUUAAUAGAUAUGGGCAUAUUGACAUUGCCUAUUUCUUCUUGUGUUGAGUUUUGGCAGACUGUGUCUUUCAAGGAAUUGGUCCAUUACUCUUACUUUAAGAAAUUUAUAGGCAUAGGGUCAUUCAGAGUAUUCCAUUAUUAUCUUGUAAUGUUCAUGGGAUCUGUAAUGAUAUCUCUUUUUAAUUUCUGACAUUAGUGAUUGUGUCCUCUCACUAUUUCUCUUAGUCUGUCUAGAGGCUUAUCGAUUUUGAUUGUUUUAAAUAACUGUUUUUGAUUUCAUUAGUUUUCUCUUUUGAGUUCCUGUUAUGAGUUUCAUUGAUUUCUGCUCUAAUAAAUAUUAUUUCUUUUCUCCUUUAAUCUACAUUUUGUCUC